GGGAAGACUUUGCGACUGACGAGGGUUGUCGCUCUGGCGAUGGCCCCAUCUGUGAAGCUCCUGUGGUAAACCUGUCCGAUUUGUUUCCCGACUCUGACAUUGAUUAUUAAGUUUUGCUAGGUUGCCAUGGUUUCUGUUCGCGUCGCCCCUCCCCUCGUGUGUUCCCUCAAUCAAUGUAACCGCGUUCACCUGCCUCGUAUUUCGUGUUUUGUAUUUAAGUCCUGUCUGCCCCUCGUUCACUGUCGGAUCAUUGCUUGUCGAUUGUUGCAUGCAAUCGCUGCUGUCACGGUAACGUCACCAUGUCUUUCUGUUUCAAGUCUUGUCAGGUCAGUCCUAUUAUUUAUGUCAGUCUACCAAGUUCGUGUUUUGAGUUUGUUCCAAUAAACCCUGGUCCAAGCUGCA